rnacentral:other from 2 species
AAAUUCCUGAAAUGUUCGACACUCCUGUAAUUUUGAACCUACAUGAUGUGAUAAGGGAUUCCUAUAUUCUUAAGUGGAUGUCAGGCCACCUCGAUUCAGUGGAAGGCAGAAGCUUAAGUGCGGUCACCCACCUAGCGAGGGCUAGGCGUCAAAAUACAGGAAACGGCAUUUUGGGUAUUAC